UACGGAGGGAGCUAGCGUUGUUCGGAAUUACUGGGCGUAAAGCGCGCGUAGGUGGCUUCGUAAGUCCGUUGUGAAAGUCAAAGGCUCAACCUUUGAAAGCCGAUGGAUACUGUGAAGCUAGAGUACGGAAGAGGCGAGUGGAAUUCCUGGUGUAGCGGUGGAAUGCGCAGAUAUCGGGAGGAACACCAAUGGCGAAGGCAGCUCGCUGGGACGGUACUGACGCUGAGACGCGAAAGCGUGGGGAGCAAACAGG
rnacentral:rRNA from 1 species